ncrna:unclassified sequences GA-cis RNA
UUCAGGAGGAAACAAAAUGAACGAAGUUCAUUUUUUUUAAAUGUUUCCGUCAAUUAGCUACCGACUAAAGGGCGGGCAAUAUAUAUU